CCAGACGCCUGCUUGUAUUAGCAGUGGGCAACAUCACUCAAAGUUAGUGUGGGUCUUAGAUUAGGCUUCAUUUCUACUUCCCCACCCAGUCUGGAAGCUGUUUGGCCCAUGUAGCAUGUCAGAGAUCUAUUCCUUACUUUCCAUUCCAGAGAUGAAUAUUCUGUCAAAUCCUCUAUUUCUUCUUUCCUGGGCUUCUAAAAUAACUCCUUCCCUAAUUUUCUUUGCAAUCAUUCUGUCCCUUCUUCUGUAGUCCUUCCUUUAUCUGUCUAUACCAUUCUGACUCCUAACUGAAACACCCUUUAAAAUGCGACCUUGCCCUUCAUUUAAUUUAUUCUCUCUGCACUGUCAAUACCUCCACCUUGAAAACCUGAGUAUGAAUUGGAUACCUCCCCAGCACUGAGCUGGACUCUCACAUGGUCUGUUUCCUCAGUAUAAACUGCCUUUGGAGAGCUUUCUUCUGAUCUGCUGUCUGUGAGCAUACAUUUAACAUGGACUUAUGUUGUAGGGCAGAGGUUUGCAUGAAGGAUCUCAUAAUGAGGAAUGAACCAUGAAAAUACCUGCAAAAUUUGGUGCAGGGCAUAGCUGCAAAGGAUCACUUGACAAUACUGAAACUUCUGUAUCAAUGCUAACCUUGGAACUGAUCUGAACUACCUGGAUAAGUGCACAUACAGCAGCAGUAAUGCAUUGUUCUAGAAGACGGAAACCCCAAAAAUGAGAGCUUGGAGUGGAAUUUUCCCUCUGGAUUGACAAGGACCUCAGCUAAGCUGUAGCGUCAUAAGCAUCACUUGAACAUGUCUCAUCAAUGCCUUUUCCAUUGCAUCUUUCCAUCUCUCACAUUCCUUGCCUGUUGCACAAAGGAUCUAAAUCUCUUGAGACCUGACAUCCUUUGCGUGGUUCAAGUUAGCAAGCUUUUCACAACCAAGGAGGAAUUAAUGACCUGAUACACAACAAGUAAUACAAGAUGAUCUCAUGUCCAUUUCUGCUCUCAGGGGAAAAGCAUCUGCCAAAGAACAAGAUGCUGCCACUUGGGUUGUGCUUGAUCAAGAAGAGGAAAGGGUGGUCAGCCCUAAUCUCUUCAGAGACACUUGUGUCAUCUACCCCAGCGCCUGAUGAGCGUACCACCUUACUGCCUGCUUCAUAAAUCUCCACAAAUGCCUCGUGGAAUGCUUCAGACACCUUCAGGCUCUCUGCUGAAGAGAUGCCAGAGAGGUUGGCUGAGGGGCUGAACAGAAAUAUAUCCCAAAAGUCAUUCUGUGCUUGAGUUGUAAGCUCUAUCUACAUUUAAGACCUCCAGCCCAUCUGCCAGGGCCAUACCUGCUCCAGGCCAGAGAUGUCAUCAGGCAACAGCACCCACAGGCUCAGCCGACCGCUGGCAUAUGGA